UACGUAGGGGGCGAGCGUUGUCCGGAUUUAUUGGGCGUAAAAGGCUUGUAGGUGGCCACGUCAAGUCGGAUGUGAAAUCUCCCGGCUCAACUGGGAGGGGUCAUUCGAUACUGGCGGGCUCGAGGCCGGUAGGGGGAAGCGGAAUUCCCGGUGUAGUGGUGGAUGCGUAGAUAUCGGGAGGAACACCAGUGGCGAAGGCGGCUCCUGGACCGG
rnacentral:rRNA from 1 species